rfam:Schistosoma curassoni strain Dakar, Senegal genome assembly, scaffold: SCTD_scaffold0004399
AUGCAACUAACGAGUUUCAAAUAGAACGAAACGCGCGUCCCGGAU